rnacentral:misc_RNA from 1 species
GAUGAAGAACGUAGCGAACGGCGAUAAGUAAUGUGAAUUGCAGAAUUCAGUGAAUCAUCGAGUCUUUGAACGCACAUUGCGCCCCCUGGCAUUCCGGGGGGCAUGCCUGUCCGAGCGUCAUUGCUGCCCUUCAAGCCCGGCUUGUGUGUUGGGUCGUCGUCCCCCCCGGGGGACGGGCCCGAAAGGCAGCGGCGGCACCGCGUCCGGUCCUCGAGCGUAUGGGGCUUUGUCACCCGCUCGAUUAGGGCCGGCCGGGCGCCAGCCGGCGUCUCCAACCUUCUAUUUUACCAGGUUGACCUCGGAUCAGGUAGGGAUACCCGCUGAACUUAAGCAUAUCAAUAAGCGGAGGA